rnacentral:tRNA from 1 species
GCCCCGGUAGCUCAGGGGAUAGAGCAACCGCCUCCUAAGCGGUAGGUCGCAGGUUCGAAUCCUGCCCGGGGCGCCA